UCGAACGAGAGAGAGGAAGCUUGCUUCCUCAAUCGAGUGGCGAACGGGUGACUAUCGCGUGAGGAACCUGCCUCAAAGAGGGGGACAACAGUUGGAAACGACUGCUAAUACCGCGUAAGCCCACAGCUCGGCAUCGAGCAGAGGGAAAAGGAGCAAUCCGCUUUGAGAUGGCCUCGCGUCCGAUUAGCUAGUUGGUGAGGUAACGGCCCACCAAGGCGACGAUCGGUAGCCGGACUGAGAGGUUGAACGGCCACAUUGGGACUGAGACACGGCCCAGACUCCUACGGGAGGCAGCAGUGGGGAAUAUUGCACAAUGGGGGAAACCCUGAUGCAGCGACGCCGCGUGGAGGAAGAAGGUCUUCGGAUUGUAAACUCCUGUUGUUGAGGAAGAUAAUGACGGUACUCAACAAGGAAGUGACGGCUAACUACGUGCCAGCAGCCGCGGUAAAACGUAGGUCACAAGCGUUGUCCGGAAUUACUGGGUGUAAAGGGAGCGCAGGCGGGAGAACAAGUUGGAAGUGAAAUCCAUGGGCUCAACCCAUGAACUGCUUUCAAAACUGUUUUUCUUGAGUAGUGCAGAGGUAGGCGGAAUUCCCGGUGUAGCGGUGGAAUGCGUAGAUAUCGGGAGGAACACCAGUGGCGAAGGCGGCCUACUGGGCACCAACUGACGCUGAGGCUCGAAAGUGUGGGUAGCAAACAGGAUUAGAUACCCUGGUAGUCCACACCGUAAACGAUGAUUACUAGGUGUUGGAGGAUUGACCCCUUCAGUGCCGCAGUUAACACAAUAAGUAAUCCACCUGGGGAGUACGACCGCAAGGUUGAAACUCAAAGGAAUUGACGGGGGCCCGCACAAGCAGU
rnacentral:rRNA from 1 species